AGAAGCUUGCUUCUCUGAUGUUAGCGGCGGACGGGUGAGUAACACGUGGAUAACCUACCUAUAAGACUGGGAUAACUUCGGGAAACCGGAGCUAAUACCGGAUAAUAUUUUGAACCGCAUGGUUCAAAAGUGAAAGACGGUCUUGCUGUCACUUAUAGAUGGAUCCGCGCUGCAUUAGCUAGUUGGUAAGGUAACGGCUUACCAAGGCAACGAUGCAUAGCCGACCUGAGAGGGUGAUCGGCCACACUGGAACUGAGACACGGUCCAGACUCCUACGGGAGGCAGCAGUAGGGAAUCUUCCGCAAUGGGCGAAAGCCUGACGGAGCAACGCCGCGUGAGUGAUGAAGGUCUUCGGAUCGUAAAACUCUGUUAUUAGGGAAGAACAUAUGUGUAAGUAACUG
rnacentral:rRNA from 1 species